CGGCUGCAGCAAGGAAUAUUGCGCAAUGGGCGAAAGCCUGACGCAGCGACGUCGCGUGAGGGAAGAAGGCCUUCGGGUCGUAAACCUCUUUUCUCAGGGAAGAAUAAUGACGGUACCUGAGGAAUAAGUCUCGGCUAACUACGUGCCAGCAGCCGCGGUAAGACGUAGGAGGCUAGCGUUAUCCGGAUUUACUGGGCGUACAGAGCGCGUAGGCGGCUUUUCAAGUCGGACGUGAAAUCUCCUGGCUUAACUGGGAGGAGUCGUUCGAUACUGUUAGGCUAGAGGACAGCAGAAGGAGGUGGAAUUCCCGGUGUAGUGGUGAUAUGCGUAGAUAUCGGGAGGAACACCAGUGGCGAAAGCGGCCUCCAUGGCUGUAUCUGACGCUGAGGCGCGAAGGCGUGGGGAGCAAACAGGAUUAGAUACCCGGGUAGUC
rnacentral:rRNA from 1 species